rnacentral:tRNA from 1 species
CGGGGUAGAUCUCAGCGGUAGAGUGUGUGCUUAGCAUGCUUGAGGUCCUGGGUUCAAUCCCCAGUACCUCCA